rnacentral:rRNA from 1 species
AUAUCAAUAAGCGCAGGAAAAGAAACCAACAGGGAUUGCCUCAGUAACGGCGAGUGAAGCGGCAACAGCUCAAAUUUGAAAUCUGGCCUCUCGGGGUCCGAGUUGUAAUUUGUAGAGGAUGUUUUGGGUACCGCCCCGGUUUAAAUUUCUUGGAACAGAAUGUCAGAGAGGGUGAGAAUCCCGUCUUGGACCGGCGGUAGGGCCUAUGUAAAACUCCUUCGACGAGUCGAGUUGUUUGGGAAUGCAGCUCAAAAUGGGUGGUAAAUUUCAUCUAAAGCUAAAUAUUGGCCAGAGACCGAUAGCGCACAAGUAGAGUGAUCGAAAGAUGAAAAGCACUUUGAAAAGAGAGUUAAACAGUAUGUGAAAUUGUUGAAAGGGAAGCACUUGCAACUAGAUAUAUUUAGAACUAAUCAAUUACUAUUUAUUAGUGAUGCACUUAGUUUUAAAUGCGUCAAUAUGAGUUAUCAUAAGCAGGAAAAAGAUUGAUGGAAUGUAGCUCUCUUCGGGGAGUGUUAUAGCUGUUAAUUGAAUACUGCUCGUUAUGACUGAGGACUGCACUGAAUAAGUAAGGAUAUUGACAUAAUGGUUGUAAGUGA